GGGAUCGGACGGGAGAAAUAGAGAAGGACAGACGAUUGCUGCAGGAGGAGCAGGAGUCCUUGCGCGUGGACACCCUCCCGUUCUCCCAGGUAACACCAUGGAAUCCCAUCGUCUAAUUUUGGUCGCUCUUGUGAGUAUUUAUUCCAAUCAUAUCCCAUAUCCGCUGAAACUGAAGGUGAUCCGGCUACCAUGUCAUGGAUUCAGGGUAGUGUGUGGGAUUUCCAGUAGAAGAGUAGCUACUCACAAGCUUGAUGCCGCAAAGGCAUCUUCCUACUCUUCUGAGAACUUCCACCAAUAAGCUCCACGCGCUCCUGCACCUUCUUAUGAGUCAAUAGAAGAGUAGCUACUCACCUUCCUACGUCUCUGUCAUGUAGUUUCUAACGAUCUUUUAUGUGCCAUGUCGGCAAGGCCACAAGGGUGAUUGAUAAAAAAUCCAAGCAGGCUCCAUGUGAGGUGAAUCAAGGUAAUCAAUAUGUAGUGAAUGGGAUAAACUCCUCUCCCUCAUGUUGUUGAAUUCUCUGUUCUAUCUUUUAGGCUGGUUGAUGUGCUUUGAUUCGUGAUCUGGGUCGGCGCAUCUGUCAUUUUCGGUUGCAAAGGCGCACUAGCUCAUGCCUCACUUGGGUGAUAUAAUUUUUUUUGCGGUUUCUUGUAAACUACAGUGUGUUAUGCAGAUGUAAAAAAGCCAUUCAGGUUCUACAUCCUGCCUAGCAGGUUCUUUGUUAUGACGCAAGAGGAAUUCCUUUCUUAUUGACCCUUCAAGUGGGAGUCUUUUAGAGGCAGCUUUCGUGCUUUUGCCUUCUACUGGAACUCCAUGCAGAUUCUGAGUUCAGGGAGUGUAUUUGGCCUAAAUAAAGAACUUUAUUAUGGUUUUUGAUAAAAGAAAUAUGGACUUCCAAUUAGUUUGAAGGUUAUCGAUUAUAUGCGGCAAGGCCAUUUGAUUAAGUUGUCUCUUUCUUGACACCAUUUUCUAUGCAAGCUAUUUGAAUACAUAUUUUGCAAGACAAAGUACAGAAGUGUGUUUGGGUGAGGUCCAGAUUAAACAUCUCACUUUUUGUUUCAGAAAUCAUCUCUACUUAAGUCCAAGAGGUCACCAGGUGAAGGGAUGGAUAAACUAUCAGGUUGCAUUAAUUUGGAGCUAUGAAACUGGUAAAAGGAUUAUAGUUUCUACUAAUUUAUCACAUAUUAUGCGUCUUUUCUACUUUAGACUAAUUAUUACAGUAGAAUAUAUUGGCAAUAGACUGCCAUUCUCACCUUUGGUAUUGCAUAUUUUUUCUUGACAGCCUAUUACAUUGGAACUUGGUGAAGAAGUCGUAUCUGAGUAUGUUGACAUUGGCAAAAGGUACAUGCCGCAUGCUGAGACAUAUAUUCGUUGUGUGAGACAGAGGUUAAAUGCUCUGUAAAUAAAGAGAGACAACAAGGAUUGGUGAGUUUAUAGUCCCACUUUUGUACCGUUUUUAUACAAUGACAACAAUGAGCGACAUAUGUACUUCUCAUCCAAUUAGUUUUCUAGCAUGUAAAUGUAAGUAUUUCUUCAUGCACGUGAGAAAGACAAAUAUUUGUUCCUACAUGUUUGAGGAUAUGUAUAACCAUACUAUGGAAUGCAAUUGUGCUGAGGAGGAACGAGGAGGAGAGAUGUGUG
rnacentral:lncRNA from 1 species